GGAGCGCUUCAGUUCCGUCAGCCUAUGGCCACGUCUGUCCGAGGGUCG
rnacentral:rRNA from 1 species